AAAUUGAAGAGUUUGAUCAUGGCUCAGAUUGAACGCUGGCGGCAGGCCUAACACAUGCAAGUCGAACGGUAACAGGAAGCAGCUUGCUGCUUUGCUGACGAGUGGCGGACGGGUGAGUAAUGUCUGGGAAACUGCCUGAUGGAGGGGGAUAACUACUGGAAACGGUAGCUAAUACCGCAUAACGUCGCAAGACCAAAGAGGGGGACCUUCGGGCCUCUUGCCAUCGGAUGUGCCCAGAUGGGAUUAGCUUGUUGGUGGGGUAACGGCUCACCAAGGCGACGAUCCCUAGCUGGUCUGAGAGGAUGACCAGCCACACUGGAACUGAGACACGGUCCAGACUCCUACGGGAGGCAGCAGUGGGGAAUAUUGCAC
rnacentral:rRNA from 1 species